rnacentral:rRNA from 1 species
GAGUUGCGAACGGGUGAGUAACGCGUAGGUAACCUGCCUCAUAGCGGGGGAUAACUAUUGGAAACGAUAGCUAAUACCGCAUGAGAGUUUUUAACACAUGUUAGGAACUUAAAAGGAGCAACUGCUUCACUAUGAGAUGGACCUGCGUUGUAUUAGCUAGUUGGUGAGGUAACGGCUCACCAAGGCGACGAUACAUAGCCGACCUGAGAGGGUGAUCGGCCACACUGGGACUGAGACACGGCCCAGACUCC